rnacentral:rRNA from 1 species
UACAGAGGGUGCAAGCGUUGUUCGGAAUUAUUGGGCGUAAAGGGCGCGUAGGCGGUUCGGCAAGUCUCUAGUGAAAUCUCUGGGCUCAACUCAGAGUCUGCUGGGGGAAACUGCCGGGCUUGAGUGUGGGAGAGGAGAGUGGAAUUCCCGGUGUAGCGGUGAAAUGCGUAGAUAUCUGGAGGAACACCGGUGGCGAAGGCGGCAUCCUGGACCGACACUGACACUGAGGAGCGAAAGCCAGGGGAGCAAACGGG